rnacentral:rRNA from 1 species
GACGAACGCUGGCGGCGUGCCUAUACAUGCAAGUCGAACGCUUUUUCUUUCACCGGAGCUUGCUCCACCGAAAGAAAAAGAGUGGCGAACGGGUGAGUAACACGUGGGUAACCUGCCCAUCAGAAGGGGAUAACACUUGGAAACAGGUGCUAAUACCGUAUAACACUAUUUUCCGCAUGGAAGAAAGUUGAAAGGCGCUUUUGCGUCACUGAUGGAUGGACCCGCGGUGCAUUAGCUAGUUGGUGAGGUAACGGCCCACCAAGGCAACGAUGCAUAGCCGACCUGAGAGGUGGAUCGGCCAAACGUGGACUGAGACACGGCCCAGACUCGUACGGGAGGCAGCAGUAGGGAAUCUUCGGCAAUGGACGAAAGUCUGACCGAGCAACGCCGCGUGAGUGAAGAAGGUUUACGGAUCGUAAAACUCUGUUGUUAGAGAAGAACAAGGAUGAGAGUAGAACGUUCAUCCCUUGACGGUAUCUAACCAGAAAGCCACGGCUAACUACGUGCCAGCCGCCGCGGUAA